rnacentral:lncRNA from 1 species
UCUUCUGGACCAGAGGCUAUGGUGGUGCACUCGUGAUAGCCGAUUGUUAAAUCUUCAGGAAUUGUGUGAUCCAGUUGAUCAGUUUGAUAUUGGCUGUGGUGGAAGCAUUCACAUCACAGAAAUCAGCAAACACGGCAGAAAGAAGCACCAGGAGAUCCGAAAGUGAAUCAUAAAUGUGCUGGGAUUUCAGAAGAUGUUACUGGAUGCAGGAAUGGAGAGGACCUGGCUUGGAAAUUUCAAGUAAAGGGGUACCAGAGUUGAAUAGGGGAUCC